CAGUAUUCCUGAGUAGGGUUCAGAUUCGCAUGAGGAUUUCUCCCGAAUUUUAGAAUGGGGUGAGAUAGACUGGGGGGUGUAGUUUGGUGUAAUAGUCCGUAUGAGGGCUAUGUGUAGGAUACCACAGUUUUUUUUCAAAAAAAGAAAUUGUCAGUAUCGCUAUCUAAUAAGAGUAAACGUACCUUAAUCUAUGUUUUUUUAUAUUGAUUUUUUCCGAUUGAAAUAAAAAUGACUACCAACAAAGUCCAAUUUCGUUAAGCAAACCGAUCACAUCAUUCGCAGGAGUGCAAAAGUGAGCGUGCUAUUUUCUUUACAAAAUUGACAGUGCGGCAGAUAUAGGGAGGGAGAAAGAAGGAAGCGCGCGCGCGCGACAUGCGUUACAGAGACAAUAUUCCCCGUGAUCUGGUAUUGUCCGUCAUUAUUUUAGGGUUUAUUUUGCUCUCGGAGUCGAUCAUUCAUGUAAGAGCUUCGAUCCACGAAUAUAAGAACGAAGUUUUUAUCCCUCGAUUCAACUCUUUCUUCUUCCAUGGCGGUAGCGAAGGGCUCUACGCCUCCAAAGUUCACGACAAGCCUCCCACUUCUGAAGACAAACCCGUUGCUGGCAAGUCCUUCAUUAGGUUUGAGUCAAUCACCUUCCGAAGAACAAAAGAGUCCACCAAUAAGCAGAAUGAUAUGCAGCAAAUGACUGGAUUGGUUGAGGCUAUAAUAGUUGAAGUCAAAGACAGGGAGAAGAUUGGUGGGUCUUAUCUUAAUUCUGAUGCAAUUUGUUGCAACCCAGAUCUUGCAAAGGAUGGUUCAUGUAAAGUUGGAGAGGUUAUCAUCCGCCAAGACCCAGAUAAUCCUAGCUGGCCAAAACGAAUUCAGACAUUUUUCGAAGGGAAAAAUGAAGAGGCUAAUAUGGUGCUUCAAACUGUUGAGAUCAAUAGUACUGGGAUGUACUAUCUUUAUUUUAUGUUUUGUGAUCCUGAACUGAAGGGAACCUUAAUUAAUGGAAGAACAGUUUGGAGAAACCCAGAAGGAUAUUUACCUGGUAAGAUGGCACCAAUGAUGACAUUUUUUGGUUUCAUGUCCUUGGCAUACCUUGUUCUAGGUCUCAUAUGGUUUCUUCGGUUUGUACAAUAUUGGAAAGAUAUAAUACAAUUGCACUAUCACAUUACUGCUGUUAUUGGUCUUGGAAUGUGUGAAAUGGCUCUUUGGUACUUCGAAUAUGCCAAUUUCAAUUCCACUGGAAGCAGGCCAAUGGGAAUCACCUUGUGGGCAGUUACCUUCAGUGCUGUCAAGAAGACAGUCUCUCGCCUUCUUCUUUUAGUGGUUUCUAUGGGCUAUGGCGUUGUGCGGCCAACCCUAGGUGGUAUAACCUCAAAAGUACUCCUCCUUGGUGUGUUAUAUUUUGCGGCUUCAGAAGCACUGGAGCUUAUUGAGCAUUUGGGGAAUAUCAAUGACUUUUCUGGGAAAGCAAAGCUCUUUCUGGUGCUUCCUGUUGCUUUAUUGGAUGCUUGCUUUAUUCUUUGGAUUUUUUCAUCACUAUCUAAAACUUUGGAGAAGCUUCAGAUACGGAGGAGCAUGGCUAAACUUGAGCUUUAUAGAAAAUUCACCAAUUCCCUUGCAGCAUCUGUACUCCUCUCUGUUGCUUGGAUUGGGUAUGAGUUGUACUUCAAUGCAACUGACCCUCUUAGUGAACUGUGGAGAAGAGCCUGGAUUAUCCCAGCAUUCUGGACUUCGCUUGCAUACUUGCUCCUGGCUGUGAUAUGCGUUCUAUUGGCUCCUUCACAUAACCCAACUAGAUAUGCAUACUCAGAGGAGACGGGCGAAGACCUUGAAGAUGAGGGCAUCGCGCUGACUGGCAGUGCAGUAAAGGUGGCUGGAGAUUUAGUGACAAAGCUGGAAAGAAAAGAACGGAAGGCAUCGAUUACAGCAGAUCAUGUGUUUGGGCUUGUGGAAGAUCUCGAAGAGGACAAGAGGGAAUGAGACCUUUUAUCCUUGCAUAUUUCAUUGAAUCACAGAUCAAAUUUGCAUGUGUAUUGGGGACAUGUCAUCGCCUUCAAUGUAAAGAAUAUUGAGGAAGGACAAAAAAAAAAAAAACAAAAAAAAAAAAGGAACAACGAAAUGGUGGAUUGAACAAGAUUGGCUUCUUGCAACAUGCAGCCCCCUACUUUCUUUUUGCAGGUAUGAUCAGUUUGAGGGAGGAAGACGAGGAAAGGAGAGAGCACUUGUCCAAGCGUGCAAUGAGAAUACCCACCUCUCUUGAAACUUGAGAAGAAAGUCCUACCCAAAUGAUGGCACGCAGAAAUCCUAUACACAAAUUUCUUGACCUCUCAACAAACCCUAUUGUUGUAGGGGAUACCAAUGAAAAUGAGCAUCAUUCUCAGACUUCUUAUCCAUGGAUGGGGCAAAGCAACCCAGUAGAUUUUUUAAACCCUUCCCAGUUUCAGUGAUUCUCUUGAUAUAUAAUGUUUUCAUCAUCCUGAGUGGCGGAAAUUUUAUGGGAUGCAUGGCUGCGCACCUGGGGUAAAGUGGAACUCUUGCAACUCUGAUCCACCAUGCCAACUGUUGCUGCAAUGAUCUUCCUGUGUUAGUGUUGCACAAAAACUGUUGUCAGUUUUAUAAUAUUAUGAAUGCUACUUUAAUUGCUUUA